rnacentral:rRNA from 1 species
UACGGAGGGAGCUAGCGUUGUUCGGAAUUACUGGGCGUAAAGCGCACGUAGGCGGCUUUUUAAGUCAGGGGUGAAAUCCCGGAGCUCAACUCCGGAACUGCCCUUGAAACUGGGAAGCUAGAAUCUUGGAGAGGCGAGUGGAAUUCCGAGUGUAGAGGUGAAAUUCGUAGAUAUUCGGAAGAACACCAGUGGCGAAGGCGACUCGCUGGACAAGUAUUGACGCUGAGGUGCGAAAGCGUAGGGAGCAAACAGG